CAUAGCUCAACGGCAGAGCAUUCGACUGUUAAUCGAAGGGUUGCUGGUUCGAAUCCAGCUG
rnacentral:tRNA from 1 species